rfam:Desulfobacteraceae bacterium IS3 Ga0073107_11415, whole genome shotgun sequence.
ACCGGCAAUAAAUUGCCGGGCUGUUUUCAGGCGUCCCUUCGGGACU